GGCGAACGGGUGAGUAACACGUAGGUAAUCUACCUUAAGGUGGGGAAUAGCUGUUCGAAAGGGCAGAUAAUACCGCAUAAGAUCGCAAGAUGAAAGGUCGGAAGACCGCCAUAAGAUGAGCCUGCGGCCGAUUAGCUAGUUGGUGAGGUAAUGGCCCACCAAGGCGAUGAUCGGUAGCUGGUCUGAGAGGACGAUCAGCCACACUGGAACUGAUACACGGUCCAGACUCCUACGGGGGGCAGCAGGGAGGAAUAUUGCACAACGGGGGAAACCCAGGUGCAGCAACGCCGCGUGAGUGAAGAAGGCCUUCGGGUCGUAAAACUCUUUUCUGAGGGAUGAGGGAGGACAGUACCUCAGGAAUAAGUCUCGGCUAAUUACGUGCCAGCAGCCGCGGUAAGACGUAAGAGGCGAGCGUUAUCCGGAUUUACUGGGCGUAAAGGGCAAGUAGGCGGUACGGCAAGUCAGUUGUGACAGAUCCCGGCUUAACUGGGAGAGGACGAUUGAGACUGUCGAGCUAGAGGACAGGAGAGGGAAGCGGAAUUCC
rnacentral:rRNA from 1 species